CGGGACGGGUGAGUAAUGUUCGGGAAACCGCCCGAUGGAGGGGGAUAACUACUGGAAACGGUAGCUAAUACCGCAUAACGUCGCAAGACCAAAGAGGGGGACCUUCGGGCCUCUUGCCAUCGGAUGUGCCCAGAUGGGAUUAGCUAGUAGGUGGGGUAACGGCUCACCUAGGCGACGAUCCCUAGCUGGUCUGAGAGGAUGACCAGCCACACUGGAACUGAGACACGGUCCAG
rnacentral:rRNA from 1 species